rnacentral:rRNA from 1 species
GCCUGAGAAACGGCUACCACAUCCAAGGAAGGCAGCAGGCACGCAAAUUACCCAAUCCCGGCUCGGGGAGGUAGUGACGAAAAAUAACAAUGCGGGACUCUUCCGAGUCUACGUAAUUGGAAUGAGCACACUUUAAAUCCUAUAGCGACAACCCAUUGGAGGGCAAGUCUGGUGCCAGCAGCCGCGGUAAUUCCAGCUCCAAUAGCAUAUAUUAAAGUUGUUGCGGUUAAAAAGCUCGUAGUUCGAGUUCCGUUCCGGACUGGCCGGGGAGGUCACCGCCCGGUGCCUGCCCGCCAGCCUCCGGACAGCUCAAGCCCCGCCGGUUCUACGCCGGGGUGCUCUUCGCCGAGUGUCCCGCGCGGCCGGCACGUUUACCUUGAACAAAUAAGAGUGCUCAAGGCAGGCUACUCUUCAAACCUAUGCCCGAAAGAUAACUGCAUGGAAUAAUGAAACAGGAUCUCGGUCUCAUUUCUGAUUGGCUCUGGGGACCGAGAUAAUGAUAAAAAGAGACUGUCGGGGGCAUCCGUACUACGACGCGAGAGGUGAAAUUCUAUGACCGUCGUAGGACGAACAACAGCGAAAGCAUUUGCCAAGAAUGUCUUCAUUGAUCAAGAACGAAAGUUAGAGGAUCGAAGGCGAUCAGAUACCGCCCUAGUUCUAACCCUAAACGAUGCUGACUAGCAAUCCGCCGUCGUUAUUCCCAUGACGUGGCGGGCCGCUCCCGGGAAACCUCAAGUCUUUGAGUUCCGGGGGUAGUAUGGUUGCAAAACUGAAACUUAAAGGAAUUGACGGAAGGGCACCACCAGGAGUGGAGCCUGCGGCUUAAUUUGACUCAACACGGGAAACCUCACCAGGCCCAGACACUAGCAGGAUUGACAGAUUAAGAGCUCUUUCUCGAUUUGGUGGGUGGUGGUGCAUGGCCGUUCUUAGUUGGUGGAGUGAUUUGUCUGGUUAAUUCCGGUAACGAACGAGACUCUGGCCUACUAAAUAGUCGACGUGGUGGUUCGUUCGCAUGGCCACGUUCGAAUCUAUCUUCUUAGAGGGAUGAGCAGCAAGUGCAGCUGCAGGAGAUUGAGCAAUAACAGGUCUGUGAUGCCCUUAGAUGUUCUGGGCCGCACGCGCGCUACACUGAAAGGGUUAGCGGGUCCACCUUCUCCGAGAGGAGCGGGAAAUCGCUGCAAAACCUUUCAUGAUUGGGAUUGGGGCUUGCAAUUGUUCCCCAUGAACGAGGAAUUCCCAGUAAGCGCAAGUCAUCAGCUUGCGUUGAUUAAGUCCCUGCCCUUUGUACACACCGCCCGUCGCUACUACCGAUUGAAUGAUUUAGUGAGGCCUUCGGACUGGCGGCUUGGACUGGGCUCCGCUCGUCACCCCGGGCUUGCCCGGGGCCGGCGGACUCGCCUCGACUCGCCGGAAAGAUGUCCAAACU